rnacentral:rRNA from 1 species
UGAGGAAUAUUGGUCAAUGGGCGCAAGCCUGAACCAGCCAUGCCGCGUGCAGGAUGAAGCAUCUAUGGUGUGUAAACUGCUUUUGUACGGGAAGAAACACUGCUUCGUGAAGCAGCUUGACGGUACCGUAAGAAUAAGGAUCGGCUAACUCCGUGCCAGCAGCCGCGGUAAUACGGAGGAUCCAAGCGUUAUCCGGAAUCAUUGGGUUUAAAGGGUCCGUAGGCGGCCAGGUAAGUCAGUGGUGAAAGCCCAUCGCUCAACGGUGGAACGGCCAUUGAUACUGCCAGGCUUGAAUUUCCGGGAAGUAACUAGAAUAUGUAGUGUAGCGGUGAAAUGCUUAGAUAUUACAUGGAAUACCGAUUGCGAAGGCAGGUUACUACCGGUGGAUUGACGCUGAGGGACGAAAGCGUGGGUAGCGAACAG